rnacentral:lncRNA from 1 species
CUACACCACCAGGGUCCUGGGUUUCAAGCACAAAACUGGGCGGUUGUUUGGGCAGACACCGAGCUAGCUGCAGGAGUUUAUUUUUCAUACCCCAGUGGUGCCUGGAAUGCCAGCAAGACACUGGGGGAAGGGGCAGCUAUGAGUGCAGCUUCAGCAAGCUUAAACAUUCCUGCUUGCCAGCUCUGAAGAGAGCAGCGGAUCUCCCAGCACGGUGCUC